GGAAGGUAUAGCUCAGUGGUAGAGCACAUGCUUAGCAUGCAUGAGGUCCUGGGUUCAAUCCCCAGUACCUCCA
rnacentral:tRNA from 1 species